rnacentral:lncRNA from 1 species
UUUAGGAUUACCCUUUUAAAAUAAAUGAGGCCUGCCUCGCCAAAUAAAAAUGCACAAACUGCGGGGCCCUCAAUAAAGGUUUAAAAAAUAUUUAGAAAAUCGGAAGGAUCGCUUAGCGAAUUUCACGGCCCUCCCAAAAGAAUAUAAUGCGUUAGACUCUAUUAGGCGCGAUUUUAAUAAAAUUACCUCCUUAAAUAUGGGUAGGCAUUUUAUGCGACCCAAAUCCAAAUCCUAAAACAUUGAAUAGAGUGUGACUAGGAUUGCGGGUUUAUUUCAUGCGGCGCAAUACUUUGAACGACGUUCACUUUCUCUUAAAUAAAUACAAUAAUAAAAGUUGAUCGAGGUUAAAAAUAGCACACAAGUUAUAGCAUGUUUUAAAAUCAGAUAUUUUGCCAUUACAAUAAUUUAAGCGACCGUGCUAGAACCAAGGGAUUUGGGGAUGCCUAACACCUUCCCUCGGGUCAACAAAAUUCCUUACUUAGAAUUUCUGGUUCGCAGACUUCAUUUGGAAAGUCGAAUAUUUUCCUCGAAUUGGGAUUCAAGAUAAACCGGUAACUUGGGACACCAAACGCCAAACAUUUCCCAAGUGACGACUCUGAAAUAAAUAAAUAAUCUUAUUUCGAAUAUUGUCAUUUAAAUUGGAAAAACUCCCUUAUGCAUUUACCCUCCGGGGUAAGGUGCGCAAAAAAAAAGUGUGACAAGCAGCAUUGAACUCAAAGUUUUGACCUACUGACUGAAUAUAAGUGUCUCAGUAGAAUGAUCUACCACUAAC